rnacentral:sRNA from 1 species
GACCUAGGCCAGAGGGAACUUGGGCUCAGGGUGGGGUUCCUGGUCCUUUGGGCGUGGAGUCGUCUCAAACCCAGAAGGCCUCCUGCUGCAGCCACCCCUGCUACCUGCCCACAGGUGGUCCGAGUCUACUGCUAUGUGACUGUGGUGAGCUUGCAGUACCUGACGCCGCUCAUCCUCACCCUCAACUGCACACUUCUGCUCAAGACGCUGGGAGGCUAUUCCUGGGGCCUGGGCCCAGCUCCUCUACUAUCCCCUGACCCAUCCUCAGCCCGUGCUGCCCCCAUCGGCUCCAGUGAGGACGAAGUCCAGCAGACUGCAGCGCGGAUCGCCGGGGCCGUGGGUGGCCUGCUUCCGCCCCUCCUCCUCCGUGGCGUCCUGGCCUACCUCAUCUGGUGGACGGCUGCCUGCCAGCUGCUCUCCAGCCUUUUCGGCCUCUACUUCCACCAGCACUUGGCAGGCUCCUAGCUGCCUGCAGACCCUCCUGGGGCCCUGAGGCAGCGCCCCCGUGUCCCCAGAUGCAAGGUGGGGCCGGACUCCCCGGCGUUCCCUUCACCGCAGUGCCUGAGCCGCGGCCCCCAUUGGACGCCGAGUUUCUGCCUCAGAACUGUCUCUCCUG